rnacentral:lncRNA from 1 species
UCGGCGCACUGUGUCCCCGUCCCUCGCCGACCCGCUUCCCGCGUCGGUCCGCGCCCUGGAGACGGCAGCCGGGGCGGUCACAGCCAGGGGCGGAGGCUGCAGGGGACCGGUGACCCGCGAGGGGCCGGGCGCGGAGGAAGAAGAGCGGGCGCUGGAGGGGGGAGGAGGGGCGGCAGGACAUACUGUUCAAGGGCUGGUCGGGGCGCGGGCUGGACCUGAGAUCUCCUGGUGUCCUGCCGCAGGUCAAGGUGGUCGCAGCCAGUGGCCCUGCGAAGGACGGGGUCUAAGAGGGGACAGAAGUUGGGGACCCAUGUCCUAGGUCAUCACUGGGGCAUCGGAGGGACAGAGGUGUCCAAAGGGUGGAUGUCCCAGCCUGGUACCGCCGCCGCGAGGUCCGCUGUGGACCGCACCCCAGCCCUAACCCGGUUUCCCAUAGAAACCAAGUUGCGAAGGAUGGUUGCGUCCGUCAACAACAGGCAGAAGCCGGAGGAGGGGGCUCUCCUGCCCACUGGAGAGGUUUCGUUGUGCGGGUUUUUUUCUUCCCAGGAGGAAGGCGGCGCCAGGAUAAGGGAGGCAGCUUAGAGGCUGGGCCUGUGAGAGUUUUUGUGGAGAAUAUUGAGGAAAGAGAUGCCAAAGCAGAUGGCCGAAGUGACUAUGCAGAUGUGACUGAAGUUACAGACCUUGAGAUGGGACUCUCAUCUUGGAUUAUUCCCGCGGCGCCGGGCUAAUUGCUUGAGUGGAGAACACGAAAGCGGAAACUUUCCCCGCUGGGUGAGAGAAAGAGACGAGAGAUGAGGAGAAAAGUCCCAGAGAUGCAAUGAGAAGGGCUCCACCCGCUGUGGCUGACUUUAAAGAUGGAGGAAGGAGGCAGCCUCUGGAAGCUGGGAGAGAGGUGGAGCCUACUGCCCCUUUCCUUGAGUGUGGCUGGACCUGGUGACCUGAUUCUAACGAAUAAAAUAUGGUGG